CGGACGGGUGAGUAACGCGUGGGUAACCUGCCUCAUACAGGGGGAUAACGGUUAGAAAUGACUGCUAAUACCGCAUAAGCGCACAGUACCGCAUGGCACGGUGUGAAAAACUCCGGUGGUAUGAGAUGGACCCGCGUCUGAUUAGCUAGUUGGUGGGGUAACGGCCCACCAAGGCGACGAUCAGUAGCCGACCUGAGAGGGUGACCGGCCACAUUGGGACUGAGACACGGCCCAG
rnacentral:rRNA from 1 species